rnacentral:rRNA from 1 species
GACGAACGCUGGCGGCGUGCUUAACACAUGCAAGUCGAACGGAAAGGCCCUGCUUUUGUGGGGUGCUCGAGUGGCGAACGGGUGAGUAACACGUGAGUAACCUGCCCUUGACUUUGGGAUAACUUCAGGAAACUGGGGCUAAUACCGGAUAGGAGCUCCUGCUGCAUGGUGGGGGUUGGAAAGUUUCGGCGGUUGGGGAUGGACUCGCGGCUUAUCAGCUUGUUGGUGGGGUAGUGGCUUACCAAGGCUGUGACGGGUAGCCGGCCUGAGAGGGUGACCGGGCACAUUGGGACUGAGAUACGGCCCAGACUCCUACGGGAGGCAGCAGUGGGGAAUAUGGCACAAUGGGCGGAAGCCUGAGGCAGCAACGCCGCGUGCGGGAUGACGGCCUUCGGGUUGUAAACCGCUUUCGCCUGUGACGAAGCGUGAGUGACGGUAAUGGGUAAAGAAGCACCGGCUAACUACGUG